rnacentral:rRNA from 1 species
CAGCCUGCCCGGUGACAAAGUUUAACGGCCUCGGUACCCUAACCGAGCGAAGGUAGCAUAAUCACUUGUUCUUUAAAUAGGGACCUGUAUCAACGGCAUCACGAGGGUUGAACGUCUCCCCUCUUUAAUCAGUGAAUCUGACCUCUUCGUGAAGAAGCGAAGAUACUAAUAUAAGACGAGAAGACCCCAUGGAGCUUCAAACAAAGUAACACCCUCUUCUACCCCUACCAUAAUAAACAAGAGCCCUGUUAACUAGCUUUUGGAUGGGGCAUCCGAGGAGUAUAAUCUAACCUCCCUGACAACUUAUCUCAGAGCUACUACUCUAAGAAACAGUAAACUGAUGUAACAUGACCCGAUUAUCGAUCAACGAACCAAGUUACCCUGGGGAUAACAGCGCAAUCCAUUUCAAGAGUCCUUAUCGACAAAUGGGUUUACGACCUCGAUGUUGGAUCAGGGUACCCCAGUGGUGCAGCCGCUACUAAAGGUUCGUUUGUUCAACGAUUAAAACCCUACGUGAUCUGANU